UACGUAGGGGGCUAGCGUUGUCCGGAAUCAUUGGGCGUAAAGAGCGUGUAGGCGGUCCGGUAAGUCCGCUGUGAAAGUCGGGGGCUCAACCCUCGAAUGCCGGUGGAUACUGUCGGGCUAGAGUGCGGAAGAGGCGAGUGGAAUUCCUGGUGUAGCGGUGAAAUGCGCGGAUAUCAGGAGGAACACCUAUUGCGAAGGCAGCUCGCUGGGACGUUACUGACGCUGAGACGCGAAAGCAUGGGGAGCGAACAGG
rnacentral:rRNA from 1 species